GCGAUCAUACCAGCACUAAUGCACCGGAUCCCAUCAGAACUCCGAAGUUAAGCGUGCUUGGGCGAGAGCAUUACUAGGAUGGGUGACCCCCUGGGAAGUCCUCGUGUUGCACCU
rnacentral:rRNA from 1 species